AUGUGAUUGCAGAUUCCGUGAUCAUCGAAUCUUUAGAACGCACCUUGCGCUCCUUGGUAUUCCGAAGAGCAUGCCUGUUUGAGUGCCAUGAAACCCCCAAACCCAAGCUUUGUAUUUCGAUCCAUGCUUGAGUGAGGAUUUGGAUGUUUGCCGGUGAUGAACCGACUCAUCUUAAAAGUUUUACCUAGGAUCUGUCUAUAUGACUGACCUUUCUUGGGGAAUCCCGGUUUUGUUUAUCCGGCUUCAAAUGGUAAGGACCUGGCAUAGGGUCAGCUAACUAAACCAUCACCUAAAAUGCGUUGGUGUAUGUUAAUCAUUGGGUAGAUUUGGAAUCUCGGCCCACAUCCAGUUGGA
rnacentral:misc_RNA from 1 species